UACGAAAGGUGCAAGCGUUGUUCGGAAUGACUGGGCGUAAAGAGCACGUAGGCGGGUCUUUAAGUCGAUUGUGAAAUCCCGGAGCUCAACUUCGGACUUGCAAUCGAAACUGUAGAUCUUGAAUACCCUAGGGGUUGGUGGAAUUGCACAUGUAGCAGUGAAAUGCGUAGAUAUGUGCAGGAACACCGGAGGCGAAGGCGGCCAACUGGAGGUGUAUUGACGCUGAGGUGCGAAAGCGCGGGGAGCAAACAGGAUUAGAUACCCUGGUAGUCCGCGCCGUAAACGAUGGAUACUAGGCGUUUGGAAAGUUAACCUUCUGAGUGCCGUAGCUUACGCAUUAAGUAUCCCGCCUGGGGAGUACGCUGGCAACAGUG
rnacentral:rRNA from 1 species